rnacentral:misc_RNA from 1 species
GAUGAAGAACGUAGCGAAAUGCGAUAAGUAAUGUGAAUUGCAGAAUUCAGUGAAUCAUCGAGUCUUUGAACGCACAUUGCGCCCCCUGGUAUUCCGGGGGGCAUGCCUGUCCGAGCGUCAUUGCUGCCCUCAAGCACGGCUUGUGUGUUGGGCCUCCGUCCUCCUCCCGGGGGACGGGCCCGAAAGGCAGCGGCGGCACCGCGUCCGGUCCUCGAGCGUAUGGGGCUUCGUCACCCGCUCUUGUAGGCCCGGCCGGCGCUUGCCGACACAUCAAUCUUUUUUCCAGGUUGACCUCGGAUCAGGUAGGGAUACCCGCUGAACUUAAGCAUAUCAAUAAGCGGGGGA